GUGAGGAAUAUUGGUCAAUGGACGCGAGUCUGAACCAGCCAAGUAGCGUGAAGGAUGACUGCCCUAUGGGUUGUAAACUUCUUUUAUAAGGGAAUAAAGUGAGGGACGUGUCCCUUUUUGUAUGUACCUUAUGAAUAAGGAUCGGCUAACUCCGUGCCAGCAGCCGCGGUAAUCCGGAGGAUCCAAGCGUUAUCCGGAUUUAUUGGGUUUAAAGGGAGCGUAGGUUGACAUAUAAGUCAGCGGUGAAAGUUUACGGCUCAACCGUGAAAUUGCAGUUGUUACUGUAUGUCUUGAGUGUACAAGAGGUGGGCGGAAUUCGUGGUGUAGCGGUGAAAUGCUUAGAUAUCACGAAGAACUCCAAUUGCGAAGGCAGCUCACUGGGGUACAACUGACACUGAGGCUCGAAAGUGUGGGUAUCAAACAGGAUUAGAUACCCCUGUAGUCC
rnacentral:rRNA from 1 species